CAGUAGCCGCGGUAAGACAGAGGAUGCAGGCGUUAUCCGGAAUGAUUGGGCGUAAAGCGUCUGUAGGUGGCUUUUCAAGUCCGCCGUCAAAUCCCAUCGGCUCAACCGUGGAACUGCCUCUAAUACUGUGUUGCUUGAGGGAGAACGGGGCAUUCGGAACUUCCGGUGGAGCGGUGAAAUGUGUUGAUAUCGGAAGGAACGCCGGUGGCGAAAGCGGAAUGCUGGGUCUCUUCUGACGCUGAGGUGCGAAAGCUAGGGUAGCGAACGGGAUUAGAUACCCCAGUAGGCCCUGUCUCUUAUA
rnacentral:rRNA from 1 species